CCUACGGGGGGCUGCAGUGGGGAAUAUUGCACAAUGGGCGCAAGCCUGAUGCAGCCAUGCCGCGUGUGUGAAGAAGGCCUUCGGGUUGUAAAGCACUUUCAGCGGGGAGGAAGGCGGUGAGGUUAAUAACCUCAUCGAUUGACGUUACCCGCAGAAGAAGCACCGGCUAACUCCGUGCCAGCAGCCGCGGUAAUACGGAGGGUGCAAGCGUUAAUCGGAAUUACUGGGCGUAAAGCGCACGCAGGCGGUCUGUCAAGUCGGAUGUGAAAUCCCCGGGCUCAACCUGGGAACUGCAUUCGAAACUGGCAGGCUAGAGUCUUGUAGAGGGGGGUAGAAUUCCAGGUGUAGCGGUGAAAUGCGUAGAGAUCUGGAGGAAUACCGGUGGCGAAGGCGGCCCCCUGGACAAAGACUGACGCUCGGGUGCGAAAGCGUGGGGAGCAAACAGGAUUAGAUACCCCUGUAGUC
rnacentral:rRNA from 1 species